ensembl:lncRNA
GAGAGAGAGAGAGAGAGAGGUAAGUGGUAGGUGGUGACGCACUGGAGUUCCAGUAACCCUGUGCCUAGCCCCAGGUGUGACGUGCUGUGCAUUCCAGCAGUGAGAUGCUGCCCCCACCCCACCCCACCCUACUCCUCCCUACUCAAGGCCCACUCCUCAGCCUGGGCUUCCCACAUAUAUGCACACACAAACUCUCCUUGGCGUUGCCAAGAAUGCAGGACACAGUCAGAGGGAGGGACAGAAGGAGAGGAGGAGAGCCAAAGGGAAAGAAGGAAGGAAGGAAGGAAGGGUCUAGUCUGGAACUGUUGAAAAAGCAGCUCAAAUGGAAGCCAGAGGAGCUAUGAAAGCUAUGAAAGCCCAGUCACAAGGCUAGCGCAAUGUCCAGAGAUAAGGUACUAUUAUCUGUGUUAAUAAUAAUCAACUGAACAGUUUAAGGUACGUUCAGAGAACCAGCAAUCAACACCUCAGAGAAUAAAGACCUGCUUUACAUUGCAGAUGUCCCAUGUGACAUGGCAAGUACAAACUGGGUGCAUUACUGUCAGGUAUUUAAGGUUGCAGGUUGAAGAUGCUAUAUUGGCGGGAUCUGGAUUGAAACGUUCAGUCCUCUAGAUAUGCGCCUCACCUUUAGCCCCUGGAUACCACCAAUGGGGAAAGAAGGAAAAAGGCUCAACAAAUCAUAAAAAAUGCUGUUUUGCAACGUUGUAAAAAAAGGUGUCAAUAAAGCUGAUUCCAGUGGUGAUGUUUUGGCAUAUUUUGUUUUCCUCCAGAAAUUUGAAUCUUUAAAUGUGCCAUGAUUUAUUUUUCUCACUCCAUGCCCCAUGCAAUGGCCUCAUUGUACUGUUGUGUGUGUGUGUGUGUGUGUGUGUGUGUGUUUCUUUUUUAAUGUUUUUUCUUUUUUGUUUGUUUUAUUUAAUUGAGGGAAAAAUCAGUGGCGGCACUGAAGUGAAAGGGAGUGUUUGAACAGCAGAGGAAGAAUGAACUUGUUUUUUUUGGUACUGCUUCCACCACUAGAGAUGUACUGGCUUUGCUACAUUGAAAUGCAGCUAAAAAGAUCAUUCUAACUAACUACCUGAACGAUUUGCCCACCUCCAACCCUUCAAGUCAUAGACUCCUAAUUAACUUGAUAGGACUGAACCAAAUAUGCAUAACUGCAAUUCAAUUUUGUUACUUUGGAGAAAAUCAAGACAAGAGGGAAAGGUACAGGGAAAUAUUUUUGUGGUACAACUUGAUUAUUGUACCUACUGAUAAAACAGAACAUGUACAAAAGUAUGAAAACAUGAAUUCACUUUGACAAAGCUCUUCAUGGUGUGGACCCUGCUAGAUUAGGGUGACUGUUCCUGUGGGGGUGUUCAGCACAUACAGAAUGGGGAUAGGCACAUGACCUUAAAACCAGUUGAUUCUGGCCCCCUGGUUAGCAGUUGAAACAGCGUUUGGUCUGUACUAAACCCAUGAAAAUGUGCUGUAAGGAAUUUUGAAAUACAAGUUGUUAAAUGAACUGAAGUAUUAGAUAUAUUGCUAAUAGAUGUACUUUUUAUUUUGUUUUCCUGGAACAACCAGUAGACUAUCCACUAAGAAAGCUUUAAAGAACUGCUGUUCUGAACAUUUCAAUCUCAUCGGAAAGUGACCAGGAUUUUGACGAAUUUUAGACCCACACAUUUCCUUUCAGUUCUAUUUUUAAAAGAAUUGAUCAUAUUCUAUACUCCUAACCCCAUUUCCAUGAGGCAUUUGAAAUAAAUAAUAAAAAUAUAUACAAUAUUAGAUUGUAAUGAGAAUAUACACACCACUCCAGUAUGUAUGUACUGCAUAAAAUACUAUUUCUAUUUUCUUCUCAGUAGUUCAUAAUUAUAUAAUAGUAGAUCUGAGAGGAGCAAGAAAUACAAUGAGUGAAACAAUUGUCUUUGCUAUUGUGUGAAAUUGGUUUCAACAUUCAAUGGUGUGUCGUAAUUGAACAUAUGGGGCUGGAGGAAAAGUUCAAAAACAGGUGUGAAGGAAUGUGUGGGGUUCUUUUUCUUUGUGAAGACAUUUUGCAUUUUUUUGUAAAAGCCUGCCCAAUGUUUUGUAUCUUAUUCUAUUUCAUUUGCUGCUGUGUAGUACAAAACAAAACAGAAGUAAUGAAUGCGAUGAUGGUGGCCGUCUGAAGGAGAAGAAUGAUGCUGAUGAGUGGGGUCAUUGCCAUGCUACCUGUGUUUUUGAUUUUGAGAGAAAAUUGUAUUUUUUGAGCUAGACAGAGUGGGGUUGAGUCUCAGCUAUUGGGGGGGGGGGGGGACUCUUCUUCCCAGUUUAUACAUCUCCUUCUGAGAUUUAUUUCCGAAAGGAAAGAGAUGUUAACAACAAUGUAUGGCUGCAUCCUCAACUGUAAAUACUGUUGCUUUUUUCUUUUAUAUGUUAAUUGCGCCCCAAAGUGUUAUUUUCCCUCCCUGUCUCCCUCUCUUUUCUGUAGAGAGAGCAAGGGAGACCUAGUUGAAACAUUUUGAGCAUUGCAUAGUGCUUAUAUUUAUCUGAAUUAUUAUUUUUUUUGCUUUCAACAGAGCUAUUGCAAUAAAAUGUGUUAACGUAACCAGUGACACCGUUUGGCCCUCUUCUUAUUUGGAGCAACAAGUAUUCAAUUUUUUUUAAUCAAUCCCAUGUAACAUGUGGCUGCAACUCAGAGACACUCAUUUGAAACAAUACCAGUGUGCUCUCUGUUAGGACUUUCUCAAUGCUGUCACCAAUAGCCCUACAUAAGUAUAGGCGAUGUUGUUAUAUGAAAGAAGUAAGCUACCCCACCUCCAACAAACACACUGAUUGCACAGUCAAGUGCCAACAGGACAAAGUCCCUUUGAGGGAUAAACAGGAUUUUAUUAACAGAGCAGGCUAAAGUACAGUUUUAACCAAUCCGCUGUAAAAUAUUGCUUUGACAUUCUACCAAGAGAGACUGAAUUGGCACCUGAUGGCUAUGGGCGAUACCACGGCCCUGCUCUAGGCCACAGUGCAGAGGGUAAAUAGGACACACAUUUGUUUUCCCCAAGUUCAUGGGUGAGUCAUCAUGACAAGCCUGAUGUGCUGAGUCUUGUAUCACACGGUCAGGACACAGAGCAUACAAAAAACCCUCUCUUAGGAAUGCCAUGGCUCAUGACUAUCGUCUUAUUUUGUGUUUUGAAAUGUAAAGACACUAUCGUGUUAACUACUGGAUAAAUGAAGGGCCUUUUGUGAAUCAGGAACCAGUCUCCCACAUACACACACCUUCAAGGAACCCUGAAGAAAGAGUUUGUACAGUUUAAAGCUGUUGAAAGGUUGAAGAGUAGAGAAGCGGUUGAAAGGUUGAAGAGUAGGGAAGCUGUUGAAGAGUAGGGAAGCUGUUGAAAGGUUUCUGCAGGUGAGCUUCUGAGUGGAGCUGCAACAUUCCUAGAAGCUGCUGAGCCCCUCGUGCCCCCUCUCUGACCUGAGCAUUUAGCACCAAAUCCCAGUGGCGUGAUCCAGAAAUUCCCAAGAC